AUAUAAAAUAAAUUUUUUAUGAUUUAWAAAAWUUUUUUAAAAUUUAUUUUACAUAUAAAUUUUAGUGUAAAUUUUUAAWUAUUUUAARAAUAUUUAAUUUWAKUAWAUUAGUAAUUAAUAUUAAAAAUUUAAGAAAUUAAGAUUUAGUAAUAUUAAAAUUAAUAACAAAUUUUGUGCCAGCAGUUGCGGUUAUACAAAAGUUAAAUURAAUUUUAUUAGUAAUAAUUAAUAUAAAAUAAUUUAAUUUAAAUAUUAAAUUAAUAAGUGAAAUUUUAAUUUAAUUAAAAAUUAUAAUAAAAAUURUAUGAUUUAAUAAAUUUUAAUAUAAACUAGGAUUAGAUACCCUAUUAUUAAAAAUUUAAAUKUAAAAUACUAAAAUAGUAAAUAAUUAUUUAUUUAAACUUAAAUAAUUUGGCGGUAUUUUAGUUCAUUUAGAGGAAUCUGUUUAUUAAUUGAUAAUCCACGAAUAAUUUUACUUAAUUUAUAAUUUUGUAUAUCGUUGUUAAAAAAAUAUUUUUAAAUAAAUUUAAUAUUUUAAAAUUWRAAAARAAAAUUAAAUCAGAUCAAGAUGCAGAUAAUAAUUAAGAAUAUAAUGGAUUACAAUAAAUUUAUUUAUAUGAAUAUUAAAUUGAAAAAUUUAAUUGAAAGUGGAUUUAAAUGUAAUUUUAUUUAAUUUAAUAAAAUGAUUUAAAAUUAAAAUAUGUACAUAUUGCCCGUCGCUUUCAUUAAUAAAUUGAAAUAAGUCGUAACAAAGUAGAGGUACUGGAAAGUGUUUCUAGAAAGAA
rnacentral:ncRNA from 1 species